UGUGGGAGCGAGCCUGCUCGCGAUAGCGGUGGCUCAGACACUUUAUGGGUGACUGGUCUACCGAUAUCGCGAGCAGGCUCGCUCCCACA
rnacentral:misc_RNA from 1 species